AUGAGCAUCCCGUUUUUGGGAAUGAAGACAGAGCAGUCCACAAGUUUAAAGAAGUGGUUCAGGCCAUGCAUUGAAACUGACCUGAGAAGACUCUACUCACACACCAGAGCACAGACCUGUUCUGGAGGACUUCUGACAGGAGGUGGAGGUCUGGCUCUGGGUGAGGAGGUGGAGGUCUGGCUCUGGGUGAGGAGGCAGACACCUUGGGACAAACUACAUUUUACCUUUUUAACAUUGUACAGUUCUAGAGUAUCUUCUACUGUAACAUGUGGGAAUGACGGCCAUUAUUUUAGCUUUGAUAUUAUCCAGUUGGUAACUCUGUUUAUCUUCUGUGGCAAUUAAUGACCGCAGAUAUUUAGAACGUACAAAAGCUGAAGUAACAAAGAACACUAAGCAGUAUCGAUAUUAAAUCAAAUAUACUCAGCCAUAUUCAGGUGCUGGGUUCCGUUGAAGAAAUGUCAAAUUAUCUUCCACCUUGAAAUUAUCUUCAGCCUUCACCGAUGUAAAAAAUGGGCCCGCAAGUAGAACGCUGUUUUGUACGCAGUGAGAGUCCCGUCACGUCAUCGUGGUUAAAAGUACGGCGCAACCAUCGGAAAUUAGCAACAUAUUGUACGACGUACGUGUCAGUAUGUAUUUAAUAUCAAACUUAAGUUGUUUAAGAUAGGGACAACCAUUCCCAAUGGAAACCGACUGAAAAAAAAAAUCCGUUGGCAACGGCUCGAGGUUACGCAAACACAAUCCAGAACGUUCCGCUUGAUUCCCCUCAGGGGACUCCCGUCCAACUAACUGCCAGGUGGUUUCUUAUGGUUUUCAAGACUACAACGUUCUAUGCUAACCAUUUGGUCUAAAUCAAAUGACCGCACUCAGAAACUUCCACGGCGGGAAGCACAAACCGUCCGACUGGAAUCCGAACAUUCCAGCCGGAACCAACCAAAGAAAAACAGAACCAGCGCCUCACCUUGAGCUGAACGGAGGAAGAUCCUGAAGUCCAGCGAUGGUCUUCAUUAAAACACAGCCAACAGACUUACCUUGAGGAGAUCUGUUUGUUGCUGUUGGUCAUUAAUACUAUUCAGUGUACCUUUACAUUAUUACGCACCCAGUGUGUACAAGUUAUAUCACUUAAAACCGUACGAAGAACCAAACUACCAUGUUCGUCCCACAACAACUUUAAACAUAAAAUCCUGGAAUCAGUCAAAACAAAAGCGUGUCUACAUUUUACAAUUAUCUAGAUUAUUCAGGGUAAAAACCAUACAGAGCAAAUCUAAACGUUGAGCUCACAGCGAGCCGACCAUAGCCCUGCAAUGUCACCCUGAACGCCUCAUCACCAACAGCAAAUCAUGCCAGCCAGCCAACACAUGUACAGCUCCAGUGAGAAGUGGGCUUCUGAGUGAAAGGACUGCCAAUGAUAAAAAUAAGCCCAAUUCCUGAACUAUCCAACCAUCUUCAUGGUUUAAAGAUUUACAGACUUGACAUUCCAUUGUGUUCUAAUCACCUUUGUCUGCUCCCUCGUUACUUAUAAAACUCUACAUCUCCAUCACUAGAGUGUUGCAUCCUACUCAUGGGGGUGUGGUCUGAGUGAGCAGAGAUGCAUGCUGGGAUACAGUGCUGUCUGAAGUCUUCAGUUCUACAGACACGCCCCUCAGGAGAAACCAAGUGUUUGAGAAUCUGUCGUGACAUCAGUUACAUGAGCUGGAAUAUCCUUCAAGAUGGCACCAGGAUUCUCAGAGGAGAAAUGCCAAGAGGAAGAUGUGUUGGUUCUUCCUCUCAGCCAGUGGAACACAACAACGGUCUUCAUCAGAGUACCAUGGAACACUUUCAAACAUUCACCUCUUUACACCUUGAAGCCCCAGCGAAGGUUUCCUUACCCCCUCAGCUGAAGAGCACAACUUCAGCUUGAAGAGCGCACUAGCUGGAGUUCCCGGAGUGGUUCUGAUUUGAGGGAACCAAUCGUUCAGCUAGUCCUGUCCGAAACAAAUACAGUUCAGCCUGAGAAGCCGUGCAACUGAGAGCAAGACAAGAUCCACAGGGCUCUCCAUCAAUCCAGCCAGGUAGGAAGAGCCGUCUCAUUACAGGUCUGAAGGUCAUCUUGAAUAUCCAUUUAGGUCCCUUUCCAACGUCAGACUCUCCUUGUGGAAUUCCUUUAGGUGUCCAUCCUCCAUUGAUCCUGAUCGGUAUAGUCCUAGUUUGAAGUCACUGAUCUGAACAUGCCGCUCACAUCCUUUUACACUUGAUUUGGAUACUCUCCUUCCUGCCCAGUGUGUUGGAUAUCACUCCGGAGCGUCACUCAGGGCUCUUCAUGUCUACUGGAGGCCCUUAAGUAGACAUGUGGCCGUCCAUCAGGUAUGAUUUAUUUGACCAUUCCAAUAUCCCAGGCCAAUCACACAGACCCCCGCAUGGACAUUAUCACUGUCAAAGCAAGCCGGACACACACAGAACCCAGGACAGGCACGUAGACCCCCAUGCCAGGUGUGAGUCGGAGACACACAAACACACACAAUAUAGAACCCUAGUGAUGCUCAAAAAUCAUCCCUCUCAUGCCAAACACACACACCACUGAGCCAUAAAAGGCCAAACAAUCAUGCAGGGUAAAAACCUCAUGCCAAAUAACAUUCCAUCAUCCCCCCCCCCCAGCUCUCCUGCCAGGGCACCCAUAACAGAACAACCAAUGUCUCCAGAGACGUAAACUAUGUACAACAUUCUUCAGUGGCGUCCCACAUUGGUGACGGAUUAUGCUUGGCGUCUCCAAAAUGUGUCCCAGGUUGAUUCAACGUCUCUGAAGUCAUGUCUUUGUAGUCCAUUGGUUUCCUGAAUGACGGGCCUUCACAGAUGCAAACGGUGCAGCUUUAGUCAGCCGGAGGACAGGAAGGAGGUCAUCUGUUCAGAAGACCACCCAGUGGAGGGGGGUGGCUCUUGAGGAGCAGGAUCCAUAUGGGGAUGCCCCCAAAUAAGACCUUCUUGGAAAUGAAACUGUUCCUGAGGAGUCACGAUGCCUGGAGGAGACUUGAAUGUGUUCCAUGGUUCUCUGUGUCAGACUGAAGUUGUGUUUUAGUCGUUGAGAUGAAGAGCCCCCUCAUCUCCCCCUGGUGUUUCUCCUUCUGAAUCCCUGAGUCCAUUUUAAAGAACAUUCCAGUCCAUGUAACUGACGUCACGACGGUUUCUCAAACACUCGGUUUCCCCUGAGGGGGCGUGUCUACAGACCUGUAGACUUCAGACAGCUCUGUAUCCCAGUAUGCACCUCCGCUCGCUCAGACCACACCCUCAUCAGUAAAGCAACACUCAUGUGAUGAAGAUGCAGAGCUCAGGAGAGUAGAAUGAAAGAAGACUGAAGAUAUCAGAACCCAACCCAUUACUCCUGCUUACAAUAAUUCACUGGAGCCUGUAACCAUUUUAACAAAUCAUUAAAACCAACAUAAACCAAACACCUAAGUAACCCAUGAACCAAUAAAACAUCCUUACUCAGAUCAACCUUCAGGUAACGGGUUAACUCACCAGGAAGCCAAAAUACAUCAAUGUGCCCAAGAGUAAUGAGAAAUUAAUGACUUACAGUUUGCAGUUCAUCUUCAUGGUUACGUUGGGAUACUCACAGAACUGCAGUUAAAUAUCCAUGAUAGACCUUUGAAGGAAGGAACAGUUUACUCAUGGUCCAAAUUU
rnacentral:lncRNA from 1 species